CAUCGCGGUGGAGGCGGCUGCUGGAUAAGAUAAAGCGCAGCCUUGGUGAUUCCGGCGGCUGUUCGCGUUAAGCGACAGCCGCCAGUGUCCUUAUCGUCUGUCUGCCUCGUUGUUUUCCCUGUGCUUUCGCCGUCUUUGUGUUCACCAAUUCUAAGGGAAAAGACCCUUGUGUGUGUUGUGCCUUUGGAUUAACUACAAUUACCAAGUAACCGCACAUCGCUUCGCGUGGCGGAAAGCCUGAAUUUCACGCUGGUGUUCGCAGAUGAUAUUGGCUGCAACGUUUUCGAAGGAAUAGGGAAUCCGAGUUUGCGUGUGUCAUCCUCUGUGUCCGUGUCUCUCGGUCUUCUUCGUGGAUCUAUACCAGCAAGCCUGCACUCCUUCUCUUGUUUCAUUACUACAUUAUUGCAUACCUUCAUCGUCCAGUUUCAGAAUCUCUGCUUUGGGACCCCUUUUUAGAUAGUGUCAGGAUGCGCGGCCGCCAAUGGUUGCGUUGUGCUUGUGUAUAAUAGAAAGUGGUUUUGGUUCUGCGUUUAAUGCUCUGACGUAAAACACGAAGUAAAUUUUCAUAGUAGCAACAGUGUGACUGGAGAGGAAGGUACAGACAUUACUGCCUCGGGUACUUUUAACGCUGCUUGUUCUCAGUUGACAUGAAUGAAACAUGUAAACUAACACAUAUUUUGCGUUUUCAGGGUGCGAACUGUGGGCGCCAAAAAGUCUAUUAAAACAUGCACUGGGAAAGGACUGUACAGUUCCAUUCAAACUGCAUGUGGUAGCGACGUAGACACACCCUACAACGACAGCUGCAAUAUUCCUUAGACUGCAAGUACGCGGCACAAUAAACGUCCUCCUGAGCAUCCCCACUGGCAGCCGAGUUGUGAUUCAACACAACGGUAGAAGAACAAAGAAAUCAAGGCGAAUCACGAAUCCAUCUCGAAUCCAUCAAGAAUCAAUCAACAGACCGCGGCAUUUAAUCCGCAAGGGCGUAGCCGCGUCGAGCAGCAUAAUCUCUCUAUCGCGCAACACGAACUCUACCGUCACAGGUCUUCGCGCGGUUUUUCUUUUCUCUCUUUUUUUCGUUUUUGUUCCGCUGCGUACUGUGCCGGGAUAAAGGUGUCACCUAUACAUUUAUUCUAUCUAUUUAUUAGCAGUACCUACAGCUCCAUUUAAGCGGCACAACCUAGAAGAGAACGAAGGUAGAUAGCGGCACGACACCCUAUCACCAACGACGUGAACAACAAAAGAAAUAGCCGUAUUCUGAAGGCCGAAUCACUUCUGUGCAAGACAAUAGAGAAAGUUUGUUCCCACACCGCUCAGAAACGGCGUAAAGUAUCUUCAAAACAGAAGUACUGGCGUGUUCUCCUUGCUUUACCCUUGUCAAGGACACAUUUUGUAGAAUACCUGGGCCAAAAUUUGUAACUCCCUAGGUGUGGCCUCGGUGGUUCAGUCGGUAGCGUGUUCGACUUUUGAUCCCGAGGUCGCGGGUUCGAACCCGGCCGAGGACGCCAGCAACUUGGUGGUAGGGUACAAGUUGCUUAGACACGCCGUCUUCCGCGAGGGACGUUAAAUACGGGGUGCCGUGUGGUGAGCUUUCAUCGCACGUUAAAGAACCCUCAGGUGGGCAAAAGCAAUCCACAGACCGACCGCUGUGGCGUCGCUCAUGAUCUCAGUUGUCUCGCGACGUAAACACCCAAUUAUUAUUGUUAGUAACUCCCUAGAGUAACUGUCUAGGAAACGAUUUCAGUCAUCAAGUUCGAUAAACUUACAGUAGCUUUCCAGAUCCCUACACAUAAAAAAAAGUGGUUUUGCCGUCUACUAGUAUUCUCUGAUCCGCAGGGCUGUGUUCACAGAUGGUUCGUCUACGUCGGAUUUCUCCUCCGCUGCCUUUGUCAUACCGGAGGAGUCACUAUCAUGUGGGUUCCGCCUGUCACAUCGCACUUCGUCGACCUCUGCGGAGCUGUAUGUCAUCUUGUUAUCUCUAAAGUCUGUCUCAAAAUACCCUCCUGGGUUCCUGGGUGAUAUACACUGACUCAAAAUCAGCCCUGCAAUGUGUAGGAACCAUGGGCAUCCGCGGCUCGUUGGCCCCGGUGGUUGUUAGUAUCCUGACGGCGCUCAAGUUUCUCGGCGAGCAGGGGCACCGGGUGACCCUACAGUGGGUCCCCGGCCACACCGGCAUUCAGGGCAACGAAGAGGCAGAUUUGGCGGCUGCUGAGGCGCACCGUAUCUCCACAGCCCUGCCCAUUAUCCUCUCCAACGGGGAUAGGCGCUCCUACUUGUCUGCGUUGGUGUCACCCUUGGCCCGCCAGCAAUGACUGCAUGACAUCACUUAAUGGUCGCUCCUCCAUGCAGUGGACCCGUCAUUAUCAUUUAGGAUGCCAGGUGGCUUCCCUCGCAGCUUUACGACACUCCUGCGGCGUCUACGACUCAACGUCGCCUUCACCCCUGUGUUCCGUGCUAAGCUGGGUUACAGUAACACGGCGCUGUGCCUAGCUUGCCGCACCCCAGCUACGAUCCCCCAUAUCAUCGAGGACUGUGAGCGGUACACGUGCGAACGCCGGGUACUUCGACGCCAACUUACACUCCUCCUCGACCAUAGACCAUUCAGCUUGUCCAAAGUACUUGGCCCAUGGAGCUCCCCUGCGCAUCAGUGCCGGGCUCUUCGCUCCCUUUUUGCUUUCAUGCAGUCCACUGGACUCCUCGAAGAGCUCUAAACAGAACUCCGAACCGUCGACCCGGGUGACCCUUUCUUCGAGUCUUAAGUAAAUUUUCGUUCGAGAAAUAUUCGCAACUUUUAAUAUCCGCGACAUAAAGAAUUCGCAUUAUGUUAUAGUGUAUACAGAAAAUAUCAAUCCAUUCGAUUAAAUUCCCUGACAUCAUGAAAGAGUGCUGGUCAAAGUGAGCGACCUAAAGCUUGCGUAUUGUGAGAUUACACAUUCUACAACACUGAUCAUAAAUCGCAACACUUGUUCAAAUUGUGAUUAAACUCUUACCGCUGUGUGGUAGUCAACACUUCUCAUUAAUGUGGAUCAAUAAAUUUCAGCAAUUAAUCCACAAUCAAAUAUCUUGUAUGGUAUGUGUGAGUAUAUGCACAACUUUUUAAUCUAUAUCUUUAGAAAAACGCAAGAAAUAGCGUGCAGUUUUGAUUUUGAAAAUUUAAAGAAGAAAAUUAUCUUUAGUGUGGAAUUUGCGUGCUACAACGUUAUGAGCUAAAGACUUAUAAAAUUAAAGUAUGGCCUUUCAAUUUGUAGUGCCCAGAUGUCAUGACACUAAAAUAAUGUGAUAGGUUUUCUGUAUGGUUACGGGAAAUCUCGAGUAUAUUUUGUGAAUUGGAUCUACGUUUAUGUGUGACCUGCGCUGAUCUGGUUAUUAUAAUUAAUAUAACAUAUCUUCCAUUGUGUUUAUGCAUAACGCUCAUCUUCAUUGUACAUUGGUUAAACACUUCUGAUGGCUGUUGUGUGAUCCGCUUCUCCCAAAAUCUGAUUGCCACUUGAAAAUUAUUUCAUAUACGUUUGUGUGCCGUGUGUUACGAAGACUACGUGAUUAGAAACGCAGACUUGGCCUGUACGUCGUGCUCGUAAAAUCUUUCGUUUGCAUUGUGGCAUCUGAUAAUAGAUUCGCUUUUCACGAAGGCUUCGUAUUAUCUCCUAGGCAGUGAACCCCAAUGCGAUUGUAAAAGUUGUCGAGAACGACUCGCCGCAAUCAGUUAUCUUGCCUUAUUUCCCGUUUUGCAAUAUCUUGGCCCCCACUGCAAGCCUUAGACGGCUCCUUUUUCCUACUCAAACAAUGGACAACUGUGUUGACAAAAAUAUUUAUUUAUUUCUUCCGCACUCCAAUCGGGUUGCUUGUCAAAGAGGCCUUUUCUUCUUUUACUAAGUCUGGGAUAGUGCAACUGAUUGAGAAAUAUACAUGCACUGUGGAAUUUAAUUAAUAAAAUAUGAUAAGUUUUCACAUGA